GCCAUAUCAUGUUGAAACACUAGUUCCCAUAUGAUCAUCAAAGUUAAGCAACAUUGAGCCUGGUCAGUACCUAGAUGGGUGACCACACAGGAAUACCAGGUGCUGUAAG
rnacentral:rRNA from 1 species